GAGGGUAGGUCCCUCGAAGUCGGCUUGCAGGAGCAGACUUCAAACCGCCUCACGCUGCUUGGGGUUGAAAGGCCUCGGGUGGUGAGCGGAUGAGGAAAAGGCGUACAAAGAUACGUCAGGU
rfam:Syntrophobacterales bacterium RBG_19FT_COMBO_59_10 rbg_19ft_combo_scaffold_15570, whole genome shotgun sequence.